CCAUACUAUCUUAAUAUUUAAUCGCAUAAAAUCUAAUACCACAUACAAUUUAUUUCUGAAUAAAUUGGAAUGUAAAAUAACUUUGCAUAAUUCUUAAACAGUAUUUACUCUUUUUGCAAAAUAUUAAAAUAAAGAAUAUACCCAUGUUGCUUAGCAACAAACAUGUACUCCUGUCACGAGUUCCGUGUAUGUGUGUAUUACAAUAAAAUUAACUAAAUUCAAUUUAAAUAUAAGUUCUAAACGUUCAAACAAUUUGUAAACAAACUAAAAUCUUGCGGACAAGUGUCACUUUCCAAAACCUAGUUUACGAACUUAAUAUGCAAUCUAUUACAAAAUAUAA
rnacentral:lncRNA from 1 species